UCACUUUUCAGGAGAUCCAAGGGGU
rnacentral:piRNA from 1 species